rnacentral:rRNA from 1 species
ACACUGUACGAGUUUGAUCCUGGCUCAGAACGAACGCUGGCGGCAGGCCUAACACAUGCAAGUCGAGCGCGCCCUUCGGGGUGAGCGGCGGACGGGUGAGUAACGCGUGGGAACGUACCCUUUGCUACGGAAUAGUCUCGGGAAACUGGGGGUAAUACCGUAUGAGCCCUUCGGGGGAAAGAUUUAUCGGCAAAGGAUCGGCCCGCGUUGGAUUAGGUAGUUGGUGGGGUAAUGGCCCACCAAGCCGACGAUCCAUAGCUGGUUUGAGAGGAUGAUCAGCCACACUGGGACUGAGACACGGCCCAGACUCCUACGGGAGGCAGCAGUGGGGAAUCUUAGACAAUGGGCGCAAGCCUGAUCUAGCCAUGCCGCGUGAGCGAUGAAGGCCUUAGGGUUGUAAAGCUCUUUCGUGGGGGAAGAUAAUGACUGUACCCCAAGAAGAAGCCCCGGCUAACUCCGUG